rnacentral:rRNA from 1 species
CGAGCGGCAGCGCGGGGCAACCUGGCGGCGAGCGGCGAACGGGUGAGUAAUACAUCGGAACGUGCCCAGACGUGGGGGAUAACUACUCGAAAGAGUGGCUAAUACCGCAUACGAUCUACGGAUGAAAGCGGGGGAUCGCAAGACCUCGCGCGUCUGGAGCGGCUGAUGGCAGAUUAGGUAGUUGGUGGGGUAAAGGCUCACCAAGCCUGCGAUCUGUAGCUGGUCUGAGAGGACGACCAGCCACACUGGGACUGAGACACGGCCCAGACUCCUACGGGAGGCAGCAGUGGGGAAUUUUGGACAAUGGGCGAAAGCCUGAUCCAGCCAUUCCGCGUGCAGGAUGAAGGCCCUCGGGUUGUAAACUGCUUUUGUACGGAACGAAAAAGCUCCGGCUAAUACCUGGAGUCCAUGACGGUACCGUAAGAAUAAGCACCGGCUAACUACGUGCCAGCAGCCGCGGUAAUACGUAGGGUGCAAGCGUUAAUCGGAAUUACUGGGCGUAAAGCGUGCGCAGGCGGUUUUGUAAGACAGAGGUGAAAUCCCCGGGCUCAACCUGUGAACUGCCUUUGUGACUGCAAGGCUGGAGUGCGGCAGAGGGGGAUGGAAUUCCGCGUGUAGCAGUGAAAUGCGUAGAUAUGCGGAGGAACACCGAUGGCGAAUGCAAUCCCCUGGGCCUGCACUGACGCUCAUGCACGAAAGC